CAUCGACCCAGGGCGGACCUGCAUGAUGAACUGCACUGGACUGUCUGCUGUCAAUCACCCACUGCUCUGAGCACCCAGCCUGCUCAGGGCACAGAAAGAGCAAGGGGCCCAUCCGCCCCUUCCCAAGCAUUUGCAGGGUUACUGAUGACAGUUCAUCAGGAUGGGCACAGUCUGAGGACAUGAAAUGACAGCUGCUGCCUACAAACGGCGGAGAGUCACCUAAGCGCCUCUGAACAGACACAGAAGCCGCGUUAGUCAUCCUUCUGUUAAGAGCUCAGUCAUGUGAUGAUCUCAGAGGACCCGGCGAAGGAAGACCCUUGACACUUCCCUACGGAAGAAUGUCUUCUGCAAAAGGCUCCUGCCAGGACGGGAAGCAAGUGCUGGGAAAAUCCUUAGCCUGUGGCUGCGUGUGUUUCCAAUUCUGCUGUCCCACUUCCUCUCCGCAUCACAUCCCCUCUGGGGCUCAGCUGAGGAGCUAAAGUGCAGUGCUCUUAAAGACUUUACGAUAAAAAGAGCUAAAAUGGAUUUCAAGAAACAGAAAAUGUAUAGUGCUAUAUAAAGUCAACUUCCAGUUUACCAAUUUGAAAUGUUCUUUUUUUAAAAAAAAAAAAAAUUAUUUUUAAAUGCUGGCUGCCUAACUUCCUAUAAAGUUGUUUUGUUGAAGCUUAUGUAAGCUGGGUGUGGUGGCACAUACUUACAAUCCCAGUGUUUGUGGGACGUAAGGAUGGCAAAUUCCAGCCCGGCCUCGACUACACAGCAAGACUCUUUCAAAAAUACCAGUAAAGGGGCUGCAGAUGCGGUUCCCUUGGGAGAGCGCUUGCCCAGCGUGCAGGAAGGCCUCCACUCAGUCUCCAAAGUCUCAUAAAACCAGCGAAGGUGUGUGAAGCAGGAGAAACACAUGUUUAGGGUCAUCCUCAGCUACAUAGUGAGUUCUGGACCAGCCUGGCCUACCUAAGACCCUGGUGGGAUAUUUUUUAAGUAAUCGUAUAAACCUUUCAAAUGGUGUUAUCUUAAAGUAGUGGCAUCGCUCUUCCGACCUCCCAGACCUAUUUCACAGCGGCUUUAGGAAGGAACGACUAUAAUACACAUGAAAGUCAUGUGGGGUCUGCAAAGAGCUAACCAAAUAAAUAAGUUAAAUUGUGAUUGUUCA